GUUUGCUCUCUCUUUACUUCGGAACAUGUUAGGGAACUUGUGUUUGGCCUGGCUGCUCUUAGCCGGGAUAACAGCCCGCCCCCGAGGCCUGUGACGUGCUGUUGAACUGUUGUGGAGAAGAAGAGUCAUGAUAAGUGUUUCAACUGAAUCACAUGAAACAAAGGCCUCUGGUCCCAUCCAAACCACAGACAUUGCAAUCGUGGUCUGCGCCUCAGCCCAUUCCAGCGCUACCUAUUUUGUGAAGACAUGUGGAUAAACGUCAGUUCCUGGUCUGACCGGGCACUUAAGAACGCAUCCCAUGCACCACUGUGGCUCUGUAAAGCAGGCAUGCAGGCCUCUGCUCCUGGGCUCAAUACACUUAUGUAACAUUGUCAUUGGUGGAGAAGGAGGACCAUCUGGGCCUGGGGCUACUGUACUCACUGUCCUCAGUGUUUGUGCCUGUGUGUACGUGCCUUUGUGAGUUUGUGUAACAGAGAGGGAAAGGAUAUUAUUGUUCAUCAUCUGUUUUCUCAUGUUUCUUCAUUGAAGGUGUUGUAAGUGAUUUUUAAACACAAAUUUAUCAGUGUAAAAUUAAUUUUUA